rnacentral:lncRNA from 1 species
AGAAAGCGGAGCGCAGAAAAGAAACCAGCAAGAUUCAUCAACCCAGGAAGAUUCUGCUUUUAUAAAAUAUGCCUCCUACCUAUGAAUUUCAUACAGAAUUAAGUGCAUAAAAAUAUUCACAGAGUGGAGACCAAACAUGAAUCCUUGAACAAUACUCCAAAUCCUGCCUUGUAACUAGUGCCAGGGAGACUCUGUGGGCACAGAU